CUUCAUCUUAGUUACUUUACUCGAUUAUUUGGGCAAAACUCAGCAGAGAAACAUGAACCAACCAAGGUAGAAGAAGCUCCACAUAAGGACAUUCCCCACUUUUCGGCUAAUUCUUCCUCUAGAGAAAAAAAGAAGACAAAGGUUUUAAGGAUCAUUUUGAGCCUGAGAAUGAUGGUUCUAUAACUAUGAGGGGCACAAAACCGUCGUACAAGCUGUCAGGUGUUUACUGGCAAUCAAACAGGAGGUGGAUUGAAUUAUUGUGUCUUUUAAUUUUCAUGUGUACAUCAGAUUGCAAGCUAGGUCCAC